rnacentral:rRNA from 1 species
ACACGACUGACGCUCAUGCACGAAAGCGUGGGUAUCGAACAGGAUUAGAUACCCUGGUAGUCCACGCGGUAAACGAUGAUAACUAGUUAUUCGGCGCGAGUGAGCGCUGAGUGACCGAGCGAAAGCGUUAAGUUAUCCACCUGGGGAGUACGCCGGCAACGGUGAAACUCAAAGGAAUUGACGGGGGCCCGCACAAGCGGAGGAACAUGUGGUUUAAUUCGAUGAUACGCGAGGAACCUUACCCGGGCUCAAACGCAGCGCGACAGACCCUGAAAGGGGUUUUUCUUCGGACGCGCUGCGAGGUGCUGCAUGGUUGUCGUCAGCUCGUGCCGUGAGGUGUCGGCUUAAGUGCCAUAACGAGCGCAACCCCCAUCUUCAGUUGCCCCCGGGUAAAGCCGGGCACUCUGGAGAGACUGCCGGCGCAAGCUGUGAGGAAGGCGGGGAUGACGUCAAAUCAGCACGGCCCUUACGUCCGGGGCGACACACGUGUUACAAUGGCGGGGCAACAGAGGGAAGCCAGGCGGCGACGCCGAGCGGAUCCUGAAAACCCGUCUCAGUUCGGAUCGGAGUCUGCAACCCGACUCCGUGAAGCUGGAUUCGC